rnacentral:rRNA from 1 species
UACGAAGGGGGCUAGCGUUGGUCGGAUUUACUGGGCGUAAAGGGCGCGUAGGCGGGCUGAUCAGUCAGGGGUGAAAUCCCAAGGCUCAACCUUGGAACUGCCUUUGAUACUGUCGGUCUUGAGUUCGAGAGAGGUAAGUGGAACUGCGAGUGUAGAGGUGAAAUUCGUAGAUAUUCGGAGGAACACCAGUGGCGAAGGCGGCUCACUGGCUCGAUACUGACGCUGAGGUGCGAAAGCGUGGGGAGCAAACAGG